rnacentral:rRNA from 1 species
UACGAGGGGGGCAAGCGUUGUUCGGAAUUAUUGGGCGUAAAGGGCGCGUAGGCGGUGCGGUAAGUCACCUGUGAAAACUCUGGGCUCAACUCAGAGCCUGCAGGCGAAACUGCCGUGCUUGAGUGUGGGAGAGGUGCGUGGAAUUCCCGGUGUAGCGGUGAAAUGCGUAGAUAUCAGGAGGAACACCGGUGGCGAAGGCGGCUAUCUGGACAGAGUCUGACGCUGAGGCGCGAAAGCUAGGGGAGCAAACAGG